CAAAGAACUUUGAAGAGAGAGUUCAAUAGGACGUGAAACCGUUCAGAGAAUAAACGUGCAAGUUAAAACGUUGAUGCAGAUUCAGCAAUACUCCGUAUUGUGCAUUUCUGUAUCGUGGCAGCCGGGGAGUUGAGUGCUUUGACGCUUCGUGUCGAGGGCUGCAUCUGCAGUGUCCUGCGCGGCGGAUAUGGCACGAGGUUCCUUUGGUGGCACCGUUUUCGUGGUGGCAGCCGCGCUGCGAUUUCCUCCAGGGACUGGACUUCGUGUGCCUUUGUUUGGACGAAUUCGUAUGUUCGGAGCCCAUGAUGGUGUGUCGGGUUGCCAGAGUUUGACCUUGUACGACCCGUCUUGAAACACGGACCAAGGAGUCUAAAUUGUGCGCAAGCCAUUGGAUGUUUACCUCCAUAGGCGAAACGAAUGUGAUGAGGUUGGAUCGCGUAAGCGCGCACCUCAAACGUGUGCUUUGUUCGCAUUGCGCUCAGUCUGAGUGCACAGAUUAGUACCCGAAAGAUGGUGAACUAUGCUUGAGCAGGACGAAGCCAGAGGAAACUCUGGUGGAAGUCCGAAGCGGUUCUGACGUGCAAAUCGAUCGUCAGACUUGAGUAUAGGGGCGAAAGAC
rnacentral:rRNA from 1 species